GAAGCUACAAACGCGGAAGCGUCGCGUCUUUUAAGGUGGACCGGAUAGCGUCAAUAAGAAGCUGCGAAUAAGAAGCUGGAUUCAGCCUCGUCAGAAAGAGCCCGUUCACACGCUCUUCUGAUUGGCUGUGAUUUGUAAAUGAUUUUGUCAUCUUGUUUCUGAUUGUUUGUGGAAUUUUGUGCCAUCAUCGCGUAUGUUUAAGACACGGUGUAAUGCAUGGAUUUUAGUUAGGCUAUUCGUUUUGCAGGUUACACAGUAAAUUGCGACAACUGCCUUUUAUGGAAUUAAAAGUCACAAGUCACUGAAUCAUUAACCGAUUAUUGGUUCAUUCAGGAAGCACCCGCCCACCACUACUGUGUUGCUCGCGGACGCGCGACAGUUGACCCCGAUUCGACGUCGUUUGGAACAGAUGUUACUUACAGGACUGGAGUCUACAUCUCUUCAUGUGAGUGAACAUAAAAGGAGUUUGUGAAUUCUGCAGUUUGGAAACCAAUGUUUUUGCAUGUUUUCAUCACAACUUUCGGUGUUUCUUUCAAGCCUGGUAAGUUGACCUCACUGUUUUUCUCCUUUUUUGUACACUUCGAAGUUAUGAAUCAAAGCAGUUUAACAGCAUGCAGUGCUCUCAAUAACCAGAAGGUGGCAGCACAGACUCAACUUUAAAGCAUUGCCAAAUCUCCCUUCAGUUUUUUUUUUGUAUGUUCUCAUACAAUUCUGCACUUAUUUCAGCUCCAGCUUAACACACAGUACUUCAUAUUUCGUAGGUAGAUUAAGCGUAUAUAUAUA